AGAGUUUGAUCCUGGCUCAGAUUGUACGCUGGCGGCAGGCCUAACACAUGCAAGUCGAGCGGAUGAAGAGGGCUUGCUCUCUGAUUCAGCGGCGGACGGGUGAGUAAUGCCUAGGAAUCUGCCUGGUAGUGGGGGACAACGUUUCGAAAGGAACGCUAAUACCGCAUACGUCCUACGGGAGAAAGCAGGGGACCUUCGGGCCUUGCGCUAUCAGAUGAGCCUAGGUCGGAUUAGCUAGUUGGUGAGGUAAAGGCUCACCAAGGCGACGAUCCGUAACUGGUCUGAGAGGAUGAUCAGUCACACUGGAACUGAGACACGGUCCAGACUCCUACGGGAGGCAGCAGUGGGGAAUUUUGCGCAAUGGACGAAAGUCUGACGCAGCAACGCCGCGUGGGUGAUGAAGGUCUUCGGAUCGUAAAACCCUGUCGUCGGGGACGAAGGUGGGCUUGUUAAUAGCGAGUUUACUUGACGGUACCCGGAGAGGAAGCCCCGGCUAACUCUGUGCCAGCAGCCGCGGUAAUACAGAGGGGGCAAGCGUUAUUCGGAAUUAUUGGGCGUAAAGGGUGCGUAGGCGGUCGUUUAAGUAGGAUGUGUAAUCCCCGGGCUUAACCUGGGAACUGCAUCCUAGACUGGACGACUUGAGUACUGGAGAGGGUGGUAGAAUUCCACGUGUAGCGGUGAAAUGCGUAGAGAUGUGGAGGAAUACCAGUGGCGAAGGCGGCCACCUGGACAGUAACUGACGCUGAGGCGCGAAAGUGUGGGUAGCAAACAGGAUUAGAUACCCUGGUAGUCC
rnacentral:rRNA from 1 species